UUUAGGUACUAGUGCAGUGUAGAACCCUUUUCUCAGGCAAAACCUAACAUCUGACCGCACCCUUUUUGCUAUUAAAAAAAAAAAAAAGCUUCUAUUUUUUUCCUCCUGUCGUUAAGAUAAAUUCUCCAGUAGACAACCUCUCCCACUAAUUGUGUAUUAGCAACGUAUUUUAUCUUGAGAGCUUGUACACUGGGCUCUCAACGUGGUGUGGAAGGUAGCCUGUUACAGUGCUGGAUUCAUAAAAGGGCCUUUAUGGUUUGUGAAAGAAUAUCUGUGUGCUUAGGGAGGAAACUUUUUGAUCUGCAGAAAAGCCAGAAGACAUCUAGGACAUCCAUAAAAAUUCAUCAGAGAGCAUUUUACUACUGAGCUGCAAAGGGAAAAACUUAAAAUGGAUAUGAAAAGUGAAGAAAGUGAUCAUAGGAGAAAACCAUUUCAGAUGACAAGAGCACCUCAAAGGCAGCAGCCUCAAGGAGCAGCCAUGGCCCCAGACUUGUCGCACGGAUGCAGAAAACUUAAUGGAGGAGGCUGAGCAAAACAGAGCGUGACACUCCCAAUCAUCUGCAUGCUGGAAAUGAGGAAAUGGUUAUUGAAUGAUACAAGUGCUUUUCGAUCAUUUAGAAAGUUCUGUUUCCCAAGAUCUUUUUUUUUUUUUUUUUUUUUGAGACGGUGUCUUGCUCUGUCACCCAGGCUGGAGUGCAGUGGCGCGAUCUCGGCUCACCACAACCUCCACCUCCUGGGUUCAAGCGAUUCUCCUGCCUCAGCCUCCCGCGUGGCUGAGACUACAGGCAUGUGCCACCAUGCCCGGCUAAUUUUUGUAUUUUUAGUAGAGACAGGGUUUCACUAUGUUGGCCAGGCUGGUCUCAAACUCCUGACCUCGUGAUCCGCCCGCCUUGGACUCCCAAAGUGCUGGGAUUACAGUUGUGAGCCACUGUGCCCGGCCUAGCAAGAUCACUUUUUAAGUAUCCAGAAAGCUCUUUCUUAUGUUGAAUUAUGUCCAGAGGCAUAACUAGACUGAAGGUUUAGACUCCAUUCAUUCUCCUAUGUUUUUGUUCUUAACUGCAUUCUGCAGUCAAAUCAGGAGCUUUAGAAAAUACUGAUGCCUGGCUCUCAACCAGAGAGAACUGAACUGAAUUGGUCUGGUGAAUUCAUUAAAAGAGCUAACAACAAUGAAGUUAAUGUACGCAUCUCACCUCUCAAGAGUAUUAACAGGCCAGGCGUGUUGGCUCAUACCUGUAAUCCCAGCACUUUGGGAGGCCAAGGCGGGCGGAUCACCCAAGGUAAGUUCAAGACCAGCCUGACCAACAUGGUGAAACCCCGUCUCUAUUAAAAAUACAAAAUUAGCCAGGCAUGGUGGUGCAUCCCUGUAAUCCCAGCUACUCGGCACCUGAGGCACAAGAAUUGCUUGAACCCGGGAGGCAGAGGUUGCGGUGAGCUGAGAUCCUGCCAUUGUACUCCAGCGUGGGCAACAAGAAUGAAACUCUGUCUCAAAAAAAUAAAUAAAUAAAAAUAAGUAUUAACACAUGGGAAAUCAUAAAGUUUUCAUUCUGAGCAGUGUGUCUUUGAAUGUUUUGACCACGCAGAGAUGGGAUUAUCAUGGUAAAAUCCACUCUAUGGAUUUACCAUAAUCUUGGUGGUAACGUGUUAACAGAAGCAAUAUUUAUUAUGAGAGUUAAAGUUUCAUUUGGUUUAGGUUCAUAUUUUCUUUCUCCUGUCAGUCUGCAAUGGCUCCCUAACAUAAUUCCAGAGAGCAUAUGAUGUGCUAGGCUCUGUGUAGGGGACAGGAGCACAGUGGUAAACCAACGUAAAGAAUGGGAUAACUGCCUGGCACUCACCAAGCUACACUUGAAGAGGAUCAAUCCAUGUCAUCAUGUCCCCAAUUUCAUAGCACCAAGUAUUUUGUUUAUUCACAAAUGCCCUAUUAUGGACAUCUAGCAAACAAUGAUACAUCAGAAAAGGAGAUGUGCAUAAAUUUUCAUGGAAUAAGGUUGUGGAAAAUGCACUAGAAUCAACAAACAUGGGGACUAAUUCAACUCGGAUAUCAUGUCUUCAGAGAAGUUUCUCCUGCCCUCCUCUCCCUGUAGAAUUAAGUAUUCUUCCACUGUGCCACCCUCUAACUUGUGCUCAUAUCUUCCUCUAUUGUAGUUAUGUGUUCACAUCCCUGUUGUUUUUGUACCGGCUUCUCCCAAAGGGAGACAUUUAGUCUUAUUCUUCUUGGUAACUUUAGCACAGACCUGGCAGAUUGUUGACACUCAACAAAUGUUUAUUGACUCAAAUGCAUUCAGUUGAACAUUGACCUUUGAUCAACUCUGGGAAAAGUCUGCAAAGCUAGUUAGGACAUUCAGAAAUUCAUUUCAUUUCAAUCCUAACUAAAUAAAUUAUUGAAGUCUCAGAACUUCUCAGUACUUGAUUUAGACACAUAGAAACUUGGGUAAAUAACACCUAUAUUGUUAUAUUCCUCAAGAAAAAGUUUAUCUUUUCAUGAAAUGAAUCUACUGAGGAUAUUUAUAGAAACUGAAUGUAAGUGAGCAGAAUAAAGUGGUGUGUGUGUGUGUGUGUGUGUGUGUGUAUGUAAUUUGAAGAGUAGGUGGGAGAAGGUUGUGAUAGGAUAGCAGAUCUUGUUUAUGAUAGUCACCAGCUAUAACAGACACUGCCUGAUGCCUUUCCAAUAUCCACUUCCCUUUUCUUUUUUUUCUUUUUGGAACAGAGUCUCACUCUGUCCCCCAGGCUGGAGUGCAACAGCACGAUCUCGGCUUACUGCAUCCUCUGCCUCCUGGGUUCAAGCAAUUCUCAUGCCUCAGCCUCCCUAGUAGCUGGGAUUACAGGCUCUCGCCACCACGCCCAGCUAAUUUUUGUGUUUUUAGUAGAGACGGGGUUUCGCCAUGUUGGCCAGGCUAGUCUUGAACUCCUGACCUCAGGUGAUCCACCUGCCUCAGCCUCUCUAAGUGCUGGGAUUACAGGCGUGAGCCACCGUGCCUGGCUCUCUUUUCUUACUUAAUGUCUGUGUCAAUUAAAUAGAAAUGUAUCAAGUUAAAAACCUUGCCUCGGUAGCUUCCAGUGCAAAUAAAGGUACCCAUGCCACCCCAUUCUGGCCAGCAGUAAAAUUGAUGGAAGCCUCUGGUUGGGGCUUCAAGGAAAGCUUUAUCAAAAGAUAAACUCACUGGCUUUGUCCCUUAGUUCAGUGGUCCCCAACCUUUUUGGCACCAAGAGACCAGUUUUGUGGAAGACAAUUUUUUCCAUGGACCAGGAGGGUUCCGGGGGAUGGUUUUGGGAUGAAAAUGUUUCACCUUAGAUAUCAUCGGGCAUUCAAUUCUCAUAAGGAGCCUGCAACCUAGACCUCUCACAUGUGCAGUUCACAAUAGGGUUCAUGCUCCUAUGAGAAUCUAAUGCCACUGCUGAUCUGACAGGAGGCAGAGCUCAGGCAGUAAUGCUCACUAGUUCCGUUGCUCGCCUCCUGCUGUGCAGCCCAGUUCCUAACAGGACACAGACCAGUACUGGUUCGCAACCCAGGGUUUGGGGGCCCCUGUCUUAGUUCCUUUGCCUUCCUUCCAGAUGGAUGCCUGGAGGAACAAUCAUCCCGCAAUUGUGAAAAUUGAAGCCAUAUUUUAAAGUUGGUUUCAAUUGUAAUACAGAAGAAAUCUGGACCUUGAUGACAUUUGAGCUAGAGUACUAAUCUUGAUCUUCCUAUUCAUGAGCUUGUUGCAAGAGACAAGACUUUUACUGAUUUAACUCAUUGUUGGGAUUUCUUGGAACUAAACACAGUCAUAAUACAUUUUUUCCUUCCCAGGAAAAUGGUAGAGCAUGACUUUUCAAAUCUAAUAAAACUCAUGUGUAGCUAAAACCACUCUACUGAAACAAUUCCAUCUCAGCCCAUGGUACAAGGGAUUUUCCUGAAUGAAAAAUGGUGUCUGAUCAUUUUGUUGGUUUCUUUGUUGGUUUUUCCUGAAACUUAGGGUUAAAGAAUCCAGGAAAGUUGUCUUAGAUAGAGUUAUAAUUUCCGUGGACAUCAACUGAUAAAUGCAAUUACAGUUUGUAUGCCUAGGUUUGGCAAAAAUCAUAUAAGCAACAUCCCUCACAUAAUAUUGUUUUAAUUAAAUUUUAUUUCUUUCUUGGUAUGAAACAUACUGCAGAAGCACAAUCAAUGAACAUUGGAUAGUUUCCUUAAAUCUUGCUCUUUGUCCUAUUUAUAUAAUUUAUUGUGUCAGUGGUUCUCAAGUGGUAUGCUCCUGCAACUCAUCAUCUGAAAAUCCUUCCCAGAUGUGCUGAAAAAUUUUCAUUAAUUUGUAUAUUCUAUUUUAUUUUUAUAACUAAGUACACAUGCUUGUGACUGGAAGAGAAGACACCCCUCAUUUAAUCCCAGAGGAAUAUUUGGCCUUGAUUCAUGCCCUGCUCACUCCACCCCAUUAUUAAGAUAGAGAUCGCUGAAGAAAUCCCUGCUCUAUAAAUGUAGCUGAUCCAAAAACAAAAUGGAAAUUCAUUAUUUUAAAUAUUUCUACAAGAUCUUUGUACAACUCUAUUUUUUUUUCCUAUUAAGAAUUACAUGAUUCUAGAAUAAGUUCCAACCCUAAGUAUCAACACUGGAACACAAUUUUAAAACAGGAGGCGAUUAUCUCUAUAGUGAGAUUUAACUACAGAGGUGAUAGCUCUGGUUAGUGAAUUUCAGGACUAGAAAUCAGGCCUGCUGUCUCUUAGCUUAGAGGAGGUAUAAUAAGAAGAGGAUUAGAACUACUGUGUAUAUUAACAAGAAGAACUCUAUUAUGUUCAGCUAUCAUUAUAUAUGAUAUUAUGUUUCUUUUUAUGAACUAUAGUUCACUGUCUUUAAGCAUAAUGUUUGCCCAAGGUGGGGGUGUUGGUGUGUGUCUGUGUGUAUAUGCAUGUGUGCACAUGUGUGUAUGUAUAGUUGAUUCAUUCAUUCUGACCUACUGAAUUUACUGAAGGAAUAAGAAGAAAUACCUUGAACUGAGGGACCUGGCUUAGCUCAACAUCUGUACCAUCUACCUUUGAGUAUCCAUUCCUUUACUAUGAAGCAUGGAUGCUAAAACUAAAAUUGCAUUUGCUAAACUACUUUGUAGCUAGAUUCCUGGGUGAGAUUAGAUUUGGUCAAUUAGAUGUUCUUGUGUAACAUUUAGAAGGUGAUAGUAAGGCAAAGGUCAUGUGACUGGCUGAUUUUAUUUAUGUUCAAUGAUCUUUAUUGGGGUACACUUUAUAUAUAAUAAUAAAUAAUGCACACAUUUUAAGUGUACAAUUUGAUGAGUUCUGACAAAUUUAUAUGCAUGUAUAACCAGCAUCAAUAUCAAGAUAUAUAAUGAUCCCCUCAUUCCAGAAUAGUCUCUUGUGUUCUUUCCAGCCAAUGCCCCACCCCUGGAUUCUGGCAACAAUUGAUCUGCUUUUUAUUACCAUGGAUUAUAUUUGUCUUUCCUAGAGAUACAAAUAAAUGAAAUAAUGUAGUGUGUCCUCUUUAACUUUGGCUUAUUUCUCUCGGCACACUAUUUCUGAAAUUUGUCCAUACUGUUGAUAUGGCAGACAGAAUUUUAAGAUGGUUCCUAAAAUUCUUGCCUCCUGGUAUGUAUAAUUUUCUCUCGGUUUUCCGCUGAACACUAACCUAGGUGCUAUUGUAAAGGGAUUUCUCAAGUGUAAUUAAAGUCCCUAAUAAGUUUAUUUUAAGUUAGAAAAAUUUUCCCAGGUGAGCUUGAGCUAAGUGAGUGACCUAAGCAGGUGAGUUGUUAGAAAAAAAUUAAGAGAUAUUUGAAGCGUAGACAAAAUUCUGUUGGCUUUUAAAAGAAAACUUCCAUGUGAUAGAGAAAGCCAGAUGAUAGGGAACACAAGGUUACCUCUAAAUUGACAACCAGCAAAAAAGCUGAGACUUCAGUCUUAUCAUCAUAAGGAAUUGAAUUCUGUCAACAGCCACGUGACCUUAGAGGAGGCCCCUGAGCCGCAGAUGAGAUCAUGGCCCUGGCCAAUACCUUAAAUUCAUCCUGGUGAGAUAUGAGCAGAGAACUCAGCUAUGCCAUGCUCAGAUUUCUCACCUGUAGAGCAGUAAAUUAAUAAGUGAGCAUUAUUUGAAGCUGCUAAGUUUGUGGUGAUUUGUUACACAUCAAGAGAAAACAUAUGCUGUAUAUAUUAUUAGAUUUUUCCUUUAUAUUGGUGGGUGUAUUUGUUAUCUAUUACUUCCUAACAAAUCGACAAUAAUUAAGUGUCUUAAGACAACACAUAUUUAUUACCUCAUAGUUUCUGUGGGUCAGAAAUCUGGGCAUGGUUUAUGUGAGUUCUUUGAUUUAAAGUUGUUGGCAAAUCUGUAAACAAGGAAGCAGUCAGGACCGAGGUCUCAUCUGAAAGUCAACUUGGGAUGGGUCUGCUUCCAGCCUCACUUAACAUAACAGCUGGCAGGAUUCAGUUGCUCUUGGGUAGUUGGAUUGAUGGCCUCAGAUAACUAGGUAGCUAUUAGCUAGAUUUCACCCUCAGUUUGUUGCCGUGUGGGCCUCCCUAAGGUGGCAAUUUACUUCAUCAAAACCAGCAAGGGAGAGAGUUGGCUACAAUCUCUAGUAAUGUAGCUACAGAAAUGACAUCCCCUUAGCAAUGAGAUAUUUUAUUAAUUAGAAAGAAAUUACUCAACAGGAGGGGAUUACACAAUGUAGUGAAUACCAGGAGGCUGAGAUCAGAAGGAGCUAGUGUAGAAGCUGCCUACCACAGUGAGUAGUAUUCUAUUACAUGAAUAUACCAGAAUGUCUGAAUCCACCCAACUGGGCAUAGACGUUUGUGUUCAUUCAAGAUACAGACUAUUAUUAUUUUAAAAAUAAAAGUUACUAUGAACAUUUAAGUAUAAGCUUUUGUGUGGGCGUGUUUCAUUUGUUUUGAAUGAAAUUGCAGGGUCGCAUAGAAAAUGCAUAUUUAAUCUUAUAAGAAGCUGCUUAAAAUGCUUUGCAAUGUGAUUUUACCAUUUUACACUCCCAACAAUGUAUAGCAAUAUAUCAUAGAUCUAGUGGUUUCAUAUCUCCACAAACACUUGAUAUUGUCACUCAGUUUAAUUGUAGCUACUUAAAUAGGCUUAUAAUGGUACUCGUUAUGAUUUUAAUAUGCAUUUCCCUAAUGCCUAUUAGGGACUAAUUAUGUUAAGCAUCUUUUCAUGUAUUUGGAGGCCAUUUGUGUACCUUCAUUUGUAAAAUAUCUGUUUAAGUAGCUUGCCCAUUUGGAUUGCUUUACAUUUUAUUAUAGAGUCAUAAGCAUCCUUUAUAUAUUCUGAAUAUAACUCUUUUAUCAGACAUACAUAUAUAUCAAAUAUUUUUUUCUAAGUUUGUGGUUUGUGUUUUUACUUUUUAUACUGUUUAUUGAAUAGUAGAUUUUAUAUUCAUUUUAUCCAUUCUGUUAUGAUCGAUAUUUUUUGAACUAUGAAAAUAUUGCUAUGUAAAAAUAAAAAAUAUAUUUUCAUCCCGAGUUUCAUAAUUUUAGCUUUCACUCUUAUAUCUGUGAUUCAUUCUGAGUUUUCUUGUAUAGUUUAAAGUCAGAGUGGGUGUUUGUUUGCUUAUUAAUAUAUUUAUAGAUAUUUCUAAUUCUUUCUAGCACCAUUUAUUAAAAAGUCUCUUUUUUUACCCAUUGAAUUAUUUUUUUUAAAUUGUUAUGUCUAAAAUCAAAUUACCAAAUACACAUUGUCUAUUUUGAACUAUUUAUUCUGUUUCAUUGAUUUUUAUGUGUUCCUUUACACCAAUAUCAUUGUCUUAAUUACUGUAGAUUUGUUGGAAAUAUGGGAGUCAAAUUUAAGGAUUUCAAUUUUGUCCUUUUAUCAAGUUGUUUUGGCUGUUCUAGGUCCUUUGCAUUUCCCUAUAACAUUUGGAAUUAGGUUGUCAAUAUUUCCCCAGAAUAAAGCCUGCUGGGAUUUUGAACAGGAUUGCAUGGAAUCUAUAAAUCAAUUUAGUGAGAAUUAAUAACAUAUUAAGUACUCUAAUUGAUGAACAUAGUAUCAUCUUCCAUUUAUUUAGUCUUUGACUUCUCGGAAAUGUUUUAUAGUUUUCAGUGUGUAGGUCUUGAAGUUUGUAAAAUUCUAAGUGUUUUAUGGUUUUGACUGUAAUUGUAAAUACCUCCCAUUGUUCAUUGUUAGUACAUAGAAAUAAAAUAAAUUUUGUAUUAAUUUGUCUCAUGCAAUCUUCUAUACUCACUUCUUUCCAAUAGUUUUAUGUGGAAUUCUUAG
rnacentral:lncRNA from 10 species